AUUGAACGCUGGCGGCAGGCCUAACACAUGCAAGUCGAACGAGUGGCGGACGGGUGAGUAAUGUCUGGGAAACUGCCCGUUGGAGUGGGAUAACUCCUGGAAACCGUAGCUAAUACCGCAUUCCCUCGGAUGUGCCCAGAGGGGAUUUGCUCGUAGGUGGGGUAACGGCUCACCUAGGCGACGAUCCCUAGCUGGUCUGAGAGGAUGACCAGCCGCACUGGAAAGGAGACACGGACAAGACUCCUACGGGAGGCAGCAGUGGGGAAGAUUGCACAAUGGGCGCAAGCCUGAUGGAGCGAUGCCGCGUGUAUGAAGAGGGCCUGCGGGUUGUAAAGUACUAUCAGCGAGGAGGCGUUAGUCGCAGAAGAAGCACCGGCUAACUCCGUGCCAGCAGCCGCGGUAAUUC
rnacentral:rRNA from 1 species